rnacentral:misc_RNA from 1 species
GUGUGUGUGUGUGUGUGUUUUUUUCUUUAAAAAAAAUGAUAAUGUUCUUGGAUGUUUGGGAGGAAGAAAAUGGAAUAAAGUCUGCAUUUUGAUGGGCUUCUACUUAUGCCCACUCCUUUUCCCUCCUUUUGUCUCUUUUUCAUCCAAUUACUACUUUAUUUAACACUCUGUCUUCUCAUGGCUUUUUUCUUCAUAAUUGUUUACUGUCACUUGUAUUAAUCAACUUUAUUUGGGAGGGAGAAUUUUCCUUACCAAGAUUUUUGUGAUGACUUAACUGGACUUGAUAAUACAAGUUGUAAAUUUCAAACUUCAGAUUGAUAUAAUUGAUGUGAUAUUAUGCAGGCCGAGAUGUUCUUUCCUUUUUUCCUCCACUUCUUUCUUUGCAGAGUUUCUAAUUUGAAAGAUACAUUUUACGAACUAUUAACCCGAUUAUGAGAAAUAAGUGCAGCAUCUGGAUAGUUUUUAUGAUUUACUUUACUUAUCUUUCAGCUUGUGUCUUUCUAAAUCAAGAGUUAGGUCGGCAAUUGUAAUUUUGAUAGUUAAUAGACUGCCUGCCUAUUGUGUCAACUGUGUUUCCUUUAUUUUUAUUUUAAUUUAAACAGGAAAAUGAUUAAUGAAGUUGAAUUUUUAAUAUACAUAUUGAUAUCAACCUGAAAGUUGCUGAUAGCCACUCAUGGCUUGUUGAAAGUUAAGAUUAUCUGAUGGCAGGAUCGCUAAUCAAGUUGGUGUAUUUUUCAAGACAUGAAGAUCGAACAAUAAAUGAUAAGAGGAAGAAGACAGUUAAGGAGAGAUUAGGGAUUUCUAAUGGUAAUAGGAGAAGUUACCCCAUUCUUGGUGGAAGGCUUCAUUUCGUGAAGUUUGAGACAAGAAAGAUCAAUGAAUGUUUAGACUUUAUUUCUUCCAAACAGCUUCACCGUGGUGGGAUUGACACACAUGGUUGGCUUUCUGAGGCCCCAGCUAAUUGCAGUGCUGUAAUUAAGGUAAACUUUGUCAUUGUAUAACAUAAAUAAGGCAUACUUAGCAUUACUUGUCAUUUAAACCACCUUUCUCUUUGGAGCUAAUUAUGCGUAUUGUAUAAAAGUAUUAUCUAUUUAGGACCACAAAAGGAAAACUAAAAUAAAAAUUUCAUUUUCCUUAGGAUAUAGUAUUAAUAUCCGACAUUGAUUUGAGAUAAGGGUAAUGUGCACCUUAUAUGUUCUUGGGCAUUCUCUCCGCCUUGAGCUAGCUUUUAGAGGUGAGUUAGGCUUGGCCCAUUUUCUUAAAAUGGUAUCAGUGCCUCCCAAACAAAUGUUUGGGCCUCCCAUGCAUUUCAUGUUCCAGUGUUUGAUCCUAAGUGUGAGAGGGUGUGUUAAUAUCCCAAAUUAGUUUGAGAUAGGGGUAAUGUGCUCCCUAUAUGGCCUUAGGUAUUCCUCCCUCUUGAGCUAGCUUUUUGGGGUGAGUUAAGCCUAGCCUAUUUUCUUAAGAUAUAGUUAAUUAUAGUCUUUGCAAUUUCUUUGUAUUGGCCACAAAACAUGUGGGAAAUCUGUUACCAGAGAACAUAAUGACAUUAUUUUAUUCUUCUAGUUAUGUAUUUGUGAUUUUGUACUCUUUGUAUAUUCUCCUGUACACUACAAUCAUUGGCUCUUGAGAGGCCCUCUCCAAAUUAUGGAAACAAAAGAAGGGUUUCAGAAAUGAACUGAAAACAAUAAGAAUAACAAGAAGAGAUGUAGCCUGUGCUGAGAGAGUCAUAACUGGAUGUGACAAAUAAAUGACAGAAAACUAGACCACAGAAGUGACUCAGAUUCCCUCUGUGAUUGGAUUACAAAAGGCUAGCAUUACUUUCCAGGAUCUCAAAUCUCGAUCACAUAGUGACUGUCUAUGUGGUUAUCUCCACUUCCCAUUGCUGGAACUGGAAGUUUUUCUCAAAAGGUGCUUUGCACUCUAUGCUGGCACUUGUUGGGCCUGAUGGUUUUGAAAAUUUUAGUUAUCUUUCGAAAGCGUUAACUAUGAGGUAGUGUACAUGAGUUGUUUGCUUCAGAUUCCCUCUGUACAUAGUUUUCAUUUCCCCAAUACUUACAAAUUAUGAGUUCCUUGCUUUUUGACUUAAGACAUACUUCCAUUAUUUAAGACAGUUCAUCUUGUUUUGCUGGUCUAUUCCACUUGUCUAGUUCUGACACAUACUUAUAUUAACAAACUGAUUUGAGAAGGCAACAGGUGGUGGCGCAUACAAGUUUGCAGACCUUUUUAAAGAAAGGCUUGGGGUUAGUCUUGACAAAGAGGAUGAGAUGGACUGCCUUGUGGCAGGAGCAAAUUUUUUG